AUAAAGCAUACGGAUACUAUUAUGAAUAAAAAAAUAUAGGAUAAAACCCUGGAGGAUAAAAUCUUUUCUAUUGAAGAAACGACGUCGUUUUAAGCACCCCAAUCGCUAAUACCUAAUAUCUCCUCCUCAGUUCAGUUCUACUGAGACGGACCCUUCUUUCUUCUUUGAUUUUGUUCUACAAGUUGUGUUGCCGGCGCAUCCUGAUUUCCUCCCCUCUUUCUUCUUCGAAAAUCACAAUUGAAAAUACAAACGCACACUGAUUGCUUUGCCAAGCCCAGGUACCAAGGACAAUCCUUGAAGAAGAUUUUCUUCUUCUUCUUGCAUAGCCGAGGAAAUGUUGGAUGAAAGCAAAUUUGAUGUUGAUAUGAAAUUAUGGGCACUUAGAAUCCCUUGUCAGCUUUGCAAAGCCGCCACUCGCAUUUUAAACGGAUAUUUGCUUGACAAGCCCAGAAUCAAACCUAUUACUGAAGAUCCAACUUGCCAAAAGAAUCGUUAUAUGAUAUUGUCUGAUAGAGUUCAAAGUCAUGAUUUGUCAGAGAUAUCACCUCAGAAGCUUGAUGAAUUGAAGAAAUUAUGUGAGAUUCAAGUAAUUCCUUAUUCGUUGACACUCGGAUAUUCCUAUUGGAGUGCAGAUCAUGUAUUGAAGCAGAUUCUGCCUCCUGGAGUGGAGGUGCCUUCAUCUUUUGAAACAAUAGGUCAAAUUGCCCAUCUAAAUAUACAUGAUGAACUGCUUCCCUUCAAGGAUGUUAUUGCUAAGGUUAUUUAUGAUAAAAAUUAUCCCAGGAUAAAGACUGUUGUUAAUAAAGUUGGAACUAUCACAAAUGAGUUUCGGGUGCCAAAGUUUGAAAUUUUAGCAGGAGAAAGUGACAUGGUCACGGAAGUGAAGCAAUAUGGGGCAACGUUUAAGCUUGAUUACAGCUUGGUUUACUGGAAUUCAAGAUUGGAACAUGAACACAUAAGGUUGGUUUCUCAAUUUCAACGAGGAGAGAUCAUCUGUGACAUGUUUGCUGGGAUUGGUCCUUUCGCUAUUCCAGCAGCACAGAAAGGAUGCAUUGUUUAUGCAAAUGAUUUGAACCCAGAUAGCAUUCGCUACUUGAAGAUUAAUGCAGAAAUCAAUAAGGUUGAUGAUUGCAUUUGUGCAUACAAUAUGGAUGCUAGGAAAUUUAUUUCUCAACUUAUGGAAGCACCAGUUUGUGAAAAUAAUGCAGAAUGCAAUGUUUCAAUGCUUAAAGCAUGUGAGGAUUGCAGCGUACAGGAAAAUGAGGAAUCAAGGGUAGAAAAUACAAGAAUGGGAGUUGAAGCAGAGGAAGCACCCGUUACUGUUUCGGGUAACGUGGAGGGUGCACAAGAUUUGAAUAGAAAUAUACACACUUCUGUAGCUGCAACUAAAAGACCUUCGGAUUGUUGCUUGGAAGGUAUCAUAAGCGCCAAAUUCAGGGUUAAUGCAAAACAUAAAAUGGAAGCAUCAAUGGUGAUGGUGCAAUGGAUGCUCUUAGGAGAAAGGGAGGCAAAAAAAAGAGGAUGAGAGCCUUGGAGCUUCCCAAUACUAAGCCUUGGGAGCAUGUUGAUCAUAUAGUCAUGAACCUUCCUGCUUCUGCCCUACAUUUUCUUGAUGCAUUCAAGGGGCGUAUUCAGAGGAAGGAUUGGAAAGGACCUCUUCCCUUGAUUCACUGCUAUUGUUUCAUGCGAGCAAAUCAAACCCAAGAAUUGAUAGUUUCGGAGGCAGAGUCUGCCUUGAAUACUCACAUACAUGAACCAAUAUUUCACAGGGUUAGGGAUGUUGCUCCAAAUAAGGCCAUGUUUUGCUUAAGCUUUAGGCUACCAGAAGCAUGUUUCAAAGAUAAUGCCACUAACGUUUAGAUUCUGCUGAGGGAGGGAGUUUUAGACACCAUAAAAUCUUUCCUGUCCAUACACCACUCACGCCAUCAGUUUCCUAUAGAUUUUGUUCCCUUUACAGGGUUGGCAGCAGAAACAAACUUCGCUUUGAGAUGACCUCCAAGAAAUCUGACCUGAUAAAUAUAUUUUCCGUUUUCUAUUCAGUUUUGUCUGAUCCAUUGAGUUGGUGUAUUUUCAGUUAUGAUCAAGACACCCAUUUUUGGCAAUGUUAGUAUCAAUGUCCUAUUAUCGUUUUGCUGUUAUACUUGGGUCAAAUUAGGUGGAAGCCAAUCCAUACUAGUUGGUAAAUAUGGGUAAGACAAGGCCAGCCAAACAUGUUAUGCUUCGCUCCAUGUCGAACAUGAAGGAUUGCCACUUUCUGCCUGUUUAUCUGA